AAUAGAUACCCAGGUAGUCCAUGCCGUAAACGUUGGGAACUAGAUGUAGGGCCUGUUCCACGGGUUCUGUGUCGUAGCUAACGCAUUAAGUUCCCCGCCUGGGGAGUACGGCCGCAAGGCUAAAACUCAAAGGAAUUGACGGGGGGCCCGCACAAGCGGCGGAGCAUGCGGAUUAAUUCGAUGCAACGCGAAGAACCUUACCAAGGCUUGACAUAUAGAAGAACACUGCAGAGAUGCAGGACUCUUUGGACACUUCUAUACAGGUGGUGCAUGGUUGUCGUCAGCUCGUGUCGUGAGAUGUUCGGUUAAGUCCGGCAACGAGCGCAACCCUCGUCCUAUGUUGCCAGCGGGUUAUGCCGGGGACUCAUGGGAUACUGCCGUGGUCAACACGGAGGAAGGUGGGGAUGACGUCAAAUCAUCAUGCCCCUUAUGUCUUGGGCUUCACGCAUGCUACAAUGGCCGGUACAGAGGGUUGCGAUGCCGCGAGGUGGAGCGAAUCCCAAAAAGCCGGUCUCAGUUCGGAUUGGGGUCG
rnacentral:rRNA from 1 species